rfam:Daphnia magna strain Xinb3 contig19198, whole genome shotgun sequence.
GCAGAUGUGGCCGAGUGGUUAAGGCGACUGACUCGAAAUCAGUUUCCAUCUUGGAGCGUAGGUUCGAAUCCUACCAUCUGCG